GGGGUUGUGGCUCAGUGGUAGAGUGCUCAUCUCUAAUGCACGGGACCCUGGGUUCAAAUCUCAGCAACACAU
rnacentral:tRNA from 1 species